GCGGCGGGAAGAACGCCCACGUCACCUCCCGGUGUUGUUACACCCACAAUCACCACACUCUGACCCCCGCAAAGACCACAGAGGAGUAGGAAGAGGGCUGCCCUCGUACUCCCCAAGCCACCCCCGCCUCUGAGCGCGGAGGCACGAUGUUCUGGGGCUCGAGCCUUCGCAUCCACCGGGCCAGCGCUAACCACCGGCCGCCGCCCUGGAGGGGACCCGGCGGCCCCGCCACGUGCGGCUGCGAGUUUCAGACCCGCUUCCGGGGGGCGGCGGCCGUCGGAGGCCUGGGUUGGGGGGUCGUGAGCCGGAUGUUCCCCGCAGCUGGCCAGAAAGCUGCCUCUGAGCCUCUUGAGCAACUCCCUGCCUCCUCCGGUAGUCUCUCUGGACUCUCCAAGUGACUUGCUGGGGGCACCGGGCGCGGGGAGGGCAGGCCCCCGGGGUGACGCAGAACACUAUGCGUUUGUUACAACGAUUAAAUGAAGAACACAGAAGUCUCUGGCUCUGCCGGGCAGAACGCCUCUUAAGAGUAUCGCAGCUAAAAAGUGGGUUGGCUGUAAGCUGAUAAUCAGGUAGCUGUGGUCAGACACCCACUCCAGAACCUCUGCUACUCAGAGACCAUGUUAUCACACGCGACGUCCAUUAGGCCCCAGUAAUCCGCUAUCAACGCAUUUUAGAGCCAUUUGAAUGUUAAGGAGAUUUUUAUUAAUGGUCCAUGAUCCUAAAAUGUGACUAUUGGUUCUAGGAACAGAUUUUAACAACUCAAGGCUGUGAUGAGUGAUUUUCUGAUUUCUGUGCAGCCUAAGGCCUCAGGAGAUUUCAUCUGGGAGAUUGGGGGCAAGACCUAAGCCCUCACCCCACCAAGGACCUGUCUCUAAAGGGUACUUUCCAGCUUUUACCUGGGGAAACUGAGAUAGAGGGGGAGCAGGCCUGUGGCUCCUAAAGGCAGCAUUUGAAGGUCCUUUAAUGGGGAGACCAGGGGGACAAAAAAAGCAAUCAACAAUUGUAUGGCUACUAGAAACUGGCAUCUUAUUUUUAAAGAAGCCCUCAGCUGGAAAUGUCACCUAGUGAUGUCAAGUAGACUAAGAAAUUCUUAAUCAAAAGGCCCCCUUUGCACACCUGCAGUAGGCAAACUGAGGCAGGAGCAGUAGAGGUAGCAGGUAGCAGAGGAUUCUGAUUCUUGAAUACCUUUUUUUCCUUGUGGUGCUGAAACAGAAGUCAAUCCAAACUUUGCCCACUUACCAUUAUAUUUUCAGUGGGAUUCUUUUUUGUUUUCUUUGUUGUUGCUGUUGUUUUUUCUUUCAAAAUACCGUGUUUCCACUAAGAAUUAAAAGAAAAGGGGUGGGGAGAUUAAGGAAUAAAAGUGAGUCAUAGACCUCAUGCUGUUUGACUUUCCCUCUAGGAGAAAAACAAAAUUUGAAGCGACCCUCCCCCUAGUGAUAGCCUGGCUUCCCUGGCACCUGCAGUUAUCUUUGACCAAAUGGGUUGGACUUGGUAGG
rnacentral:lncRNA from 1 species